ACUCCUACGGAGGCAGCAGUGGGGAAUUUUGGACAAUGGGCGAAAGCCUGAUCCAGCAAUGCCGCGUGAGUGAAGAAGGCCUUCGGGUUGUAAAGCUCUUUUGUCAGGGAAGAAACGGUGAAAGCUAAUAUCUUUUGCUAAUGACGGUACCUGAAGAAUAAGCACCGGCUAACUACGUGCCAGCAGCCGCGGUAAUACGUAGGGUGCAAGCGUUAAUCGGAAUUACUGGGCGUAAAGCGUGCGCAGGCGGUUUUGUAAGUCUGAUGUGAAAUCCCCGGGCUCAACCUGGGAAUUGCAUUGGAGACUGCAAGGCUAGAAUCUGGCAGAGGGGGGUAGAAUUCCACGUGUAGCAGUGAAAUGCGUAGAUAUGUGGAGGAACACCGAUGGCGAAGGCAGCCCCCUGGGUCAAGAUUGACGCUCAUGCACGAAAGCGUGGGGAGCAAACAGGAUUAGAUACCCUGGUAGUCCCAUG
rnacentral:rRNA from 1 species